rnacentral:rRNA from 1 species
AACGAACGCUGGCGGUAUGCUUAACACAUGCAAGUCGAACGAGAAAGUCUCUUCGGAGAUGAUUAAAGUGGCGCACGGGUGAGUAACACGUAGAUAAUCUACCCUUCAGCCUGGGACAACCUUCUGAAAAGGGGGCUAAUACCGGAUAAUACAUAAGGUCGAGUGGCCUAAUGUUGAAAGAUUUAUCACUGAAGGAUGAGUCUGCGUACCAUUAGCUAGUUGGUGGGGUAAGAGCCUACCAAGGCUACGAUGGUUAGCGGGUCUGAGAGGAUGAUCCGCCACACUGGAACUGAGACACGGUCCAG